rnacentral:rRNA from 1 species
CCUGCCCAUCACUUGGGGAUAACCUUGCGAAAGUAAGACUAAUACCCAAUGACGUCUCUAGAAGACAUCUGAAAGAGAUUAAAGAUUUAUCGGUGAUGGAUGGGGAUGCGUCUGAUUAGCUUGUUGGCGGGGUAACGGCCCACCAAGGCGACGAUCAGUAGGGGUUCUGAGAGGAAGGUCCCCCACAUUGGAACUGAGACACGGUCCAAACUCCUACGGGAGGCAGCAGUGAGGAAUAUUGGUCAAUGGACGAGAGUCUGAACCAGCCAAGUAGCGUGCAGGAUGACGGCCCUAUGGGUUGUAAACUGCUUUUAUAAGGGAAUAAAGUGAGUCUCGUGAGACUUUUUGCAUGUACCUUAUGAAUAAGGACCGGCUAAUUCCGUGCCAGCAGCCGCGGUAAUACGGAAGGUCCGGGCGUUAUCCGGAUUUAUUGGGUUUAAAGGGAGCGUAGGCCGGAGAUUAAGCGUGUUGUGAAAUGUAGACGCUCAACGUCUGCACUGCAGCGCGAACUGGUUUCCUUGAGUACGCACAAAGUGGGCGGAAUUCGUGGUGUAGCGGUGAAAUGCUUAGAUAUCACGAAGAACUCCGAUUGCGAAGGCAGCUCACUGGAGCGCAACUGACGCUGAAGCUCGAAAGUGCGGGUAUCGAACAGGAUUAGAUACCCUGGUAGUCCGCACGGUAAACGAUGGAUGCCCGCUGUUGGUCUGAAUAGGUCAGCGGCCAAGCGAAAGCAUUAAGCAUCCCACCUGGGGAGUAC